AAAUGAGAGGCGAUUGUUUCCUAUCGAUUUAACCGUAUAAGCUGUUAUCAAAUUCUGAUUGGCGAUACUGCGGCAUGGUUCGGAGAAUCGAAGUAUAAUUGACUAAAUUCCGGUGGAUGGAACGCUUUGGCGAGAUGAACUGUUACAGUUCGCUGAUACAGGCGUAGCGGCUGGCUGAUAUACAUUCAAUAAGAAUAAUGGUGUUGUUAAGUAACGUUGAACAAAACUGAUAAUUCUGUAUGGGACGUUAUUUAAGGUUGGAUUUAGGCACAAAUUGAAUUAGGAGACGAUCAUAUUGUUACAUGGUAUGGUAUUGAAAGUGAAUAAGAAGACGAGAAAGAUUGAUUAUGGCGUCUGUGCCUAAAUGAUGACACUAAGAAAAUAACGAAGCACACAUGGGAGCCAUAUAUCUGAAGCAGUCGAAGGAUAAGACAUUCGUUGAAUGUGAAAACAAUCCUAGGAAAAAUGGGUUGGAAUUAAAGAUAGAAACUACCGUUUAUUUGGAGCUUUGUGUCUAGUCCUCACGCGGGCGGUGGUAUAUUCACGUCUAUAAAUAUCUAUUAACUUAGUGAUGUUCGGUCACCAUAAUUUUAUGGAUUGCACCUAAUCAAACACUUGACUGUGAUUGUAUAGAUUUUGGCGCAAUUAGAUGUAUUGACGGUAUAAGUUAUGAGUCAAAUUAUUCCGGCCUGUGACCAGAGGGAAUAACCAUUGGACAUCAAUAAGUCAUUCAUUCCUGAUACAAAAUACGGAAGAAGUCUCUUGUCUAAAAUAUGAUCCGUCAAGUUAGAGACAGUUUACGUGGUUCCGACAAUAUACUUUAUAUAUAACACAGACUCAAUUGCUUUACGGUCAUUCGGGAGUUAAGAAAACGCUGGUGAAGAAAAAUUGAUAACGGAAAGAAAGGAAACAAUAGGCUAGUUAUUGUUUUUAUGGACUGUGAGGAAUUGGAACAACUUUUUAGUGCAAGGGUAUGAAAAGAAAAAAAUAUGAUGGUGAUUCUUCAGACUGAAAAGGAGUGGAAUAUAUGGUGUAUUUAAUAAUUAUUCCAACAAAACCAAAAUGGAUG